rnacentral:rRNA from 1 species
CUGCCAGUAGUCAUAUGCUU